rnacentral:rRNA from 1 species
AUGGGCGCAAGCCUGAUGCAGCCAUGCCGCGUGUAUGAAGAAGGCCUUCGGGUUGUAAAGUACUUUCAGCGGGGAGGAAGGGAGUAAAGUUAAUACCUUUGCUCAUUGACGUUACCCGCAGAAGAAGCACCGGCUAACUCCGU